rnacentral:rRNA from 1 species
GAUGAACGCUGGCGGCGUGCCUAAUACAUGCAAGUCGAGCGAACGGACGAGAAGCUUGCUUCUCUGAUGUUAGCGGCGGACGGGUGAGUAACACGUGGAUAACCUACCUAUAAGACUGGGAUAACUUCGGGAAACCGGAGCUAAUACCGGAUAAUAUUUUGAACCGCAUGGUUCAAAAGUGAAAGACGGUCUUGCUGUCACUUAUAGGUGGAUCCGCGCUGCAUUAGCUAGUUGGUAAGGUAACGGCUUACCAAGGCAACGAUGCAUAGCCGACCUGAGAGGGUGAUCGGCCACACUGGAACUGAGACACGGUCCAGACUCCUACGGGAGGCAGCAGUAGGGAAUCUUGCGCAAUGGGCGAAAGCCUGACGGAGCAACGCCGAGUGAGUGAUGAAGGUCUUCGGAUCGUAAAACUCUGUUAUUAGGGAAGAACAUAUGUGUAAGUAACUGUGCACGUCUUGACGGUACCUAAUCAGAAAGCCACGGCUAACUACGUG